GAGAAGGGUUAUGAACAUAGAAACUG
rnacentral:tRNA from 1 species